UGAGCUUAGGCCUGUACUGAAGUGUU
rnacentral:piRNA from 1 species